rnacentral:rRNA from 1 species
CAGUGGGGAAUUUUGGACAAUGGGCGAAAGCCUGAUCCAGCAAUGCCGCGUGCAGGAUGAAGGCCUUCGGGUUGUAAACUGCUUUUGUACGGAACGAAAAAGCUCCUUCUAAUACAGGGGGCCCAUGACGGUACCGUAAGAAUAAGCACCGGCUAACUACGUGCCAGCAGCCGCGGUAAUACGUAGGGUGCGAGCGUUAAUCGGAAUUACUGGGCGUAAAGCGUGCGCAGGCGGUUAUGUAAGACAGAUGUGAAAUCCCCGGGCUCAACCUGGGAACUGCAUUUGUGACUGCAUGGCUAGAGUACGGUAGAGGGGGAUGGAAUUCCGCGUGUAGCAGUGAAAUGCGUAGAUAUGCGGAGGAACACCGAUGGCGAAGGCAAUCCCCUGGACCUGUACUGACGCUCAUGCACGAAAGCGUGGGGAGCAAACAGGAUUAGAUACCUGGGUAGUCC